GGAGAGCGAGCAUCACUGGUGUGGGCCUUGGGCUUCAAACCCAACGGGUGUUUAGGUGUUCUAAGCACCGCAAAGUUCGAUUCUUUGGCUCUCUU
rnacentral:tRNA from 1 species